GGGGGAAAGGGAGAGUAUCAUGGUUACAGCUGGAUCACCUAAGGCAGAGAGGGAAGGAACCAACAGGUAUAUGAAGAAGACUGUAUUUCCUCCUCAGGAAGAAAAAAUCACCUAUAAGAUCCAUGGCUAUAACUGCUACCAAGCUCUGGGCUGCAGUAGUGUAUCAUCCAUAACGCAAAUAAGGUGCCUAAACCCUAUAUUGAAGGCUACAGAGAGGACUACAUUGAGACUUGGCAAAGUCCUAUAGAAGUUUUGUUUUCUUAUGGUAAACUAAUACAACAUAUAGCAUUGAUACAAAGGAUGCACUAAAGGAUGGACACAAAUGAAAGAACUGAGACAUGAAUUUGUUCUUAAGAAAAUUAUUCUCCAUUCUUUGAGAAGUCAACUGAAUAGGAUGAAGAAACUGCUCUAUGUUAUCAAGUUUUUAAAUUUUGUAUUUACUUAUUUACUUUUGUUGUUACUUAAAUCAACUUUAAAAUAAAAUAAAAUUUAUAUUUGAGUACAAAA
rnacentral:lncRNA from 1 species